rnacentral:rRNA from 1 species
AAUACGAGACGCUAAGGCGUCGCAGUAGUGUAUGUCAUACUUCCAAGAAAAGCUUGCACUGUCAUAGAUAAAAAACGCCUGUACCAUAACCGACACAGGUGGGUAGGUAGAGUAUACUAAGGGGCGCGAGAUAACUCUCUCUAAGGAACUCGGCAAAAUAACUCCGUAACUUCGGGAGAAGGAGUGCCUUAUUCGUAAGGUUGCAAUAACAAGAUCCAAGCAACUGUUUAUCAAAAACACAGGUCUCCGCUAAGUCGUAAGACGAUGUAUGGGGGCUGACGCCUGCCCAGUGCCAGAAGGUUAAAGAAGCUGGUUAGCAAUUGCGAAGCUGAUAACCGAAGCCCUGGUGAACGGCGGCCGUAACUAUAACGGUCCUAAGGUAGCGAAAUUCCUUGUCGGGUAAGUUCCGACCCGCACGAAAGGCGUAAUGAUUUGGAUACUGUCUCGGAGAGGGGCUCGGUGAAAUAGACUUGUCUGUGAAGAUGCGGACUACCUGCACCAGGACAGAAAGACCCUAUGAAGCUUUACUGUAACUUGAAAUUGAAAUUGGACUUUAUUCGCGCAGUAUAGGUGGGAGGCGUUGAUUAUAAUCUUGUGGGAUUAUUGGAGCCAUCAGUGAGAUACCACUCUUGUAAUGUUAGAUUUCUAACUUUGAAUCAUUAUCUGGUCAAAGAACAGUUUCAGGCGUGCAGUUUGACUGGGGCGGUCGCCUCCUAAACGGUAACGGAGGCGUACAAAGGUUUCCUCUGAACGGUUAGAAAUCGUAUCUAGAGUGUAAAGGCAUAAGGAAGCUUGACUGUGAGACCUACAAGUCGAGCAGGGACGAAAGUCGGUCUUAGUGAUCUGACGGUACUGAGUGGAAAGGCCGUCACUCAACGGAUAAAAGUUACUCUAAGGAUAACAGGCUGAUCUCCCCCAAGAGUUCACAUCGACGGGGAGGUUUGGCACCUCAAUGUCGGCUCAUCGCAUCCUGGGGCGGUAGUACGUCCCAAGGGUUGGGCUGUUCGCCCAUGAAAGCGGUACGCGAGCUGGGUUCAGAACGUCGUGAGACAGUUCGGUCCAUAUCCGGUGUAGGCGUUAGAAUAUUGAGAGGAGCCUUCUUUAGUACGAGAGGACCGAGAAGGACAUACCUCUGGUGUACCAGUUAUCGUGCCAACGGUAAACGCUGGGUAGCUAUGUAUGGAGUGGAUAACCGCUGAAAGCAUCUAAGUGGGAAGCCCACCUCAAGAUAAGUAUUCCC